rnacentral:rRNA from 1 species
AUUGAACGCUGGCGGCAUGCCUUACACAUGCAAGUCGAACGGUAGAGGGGGCAACCCCUCGAGAGUGGCGAACGGGUGAGUAAUAUAUCGGAACGUGCCCAGUCGUGGGGGAUAACGUAGCGAAAGUUACGCUAAUACCGCAUACGAUCUAAGGAUGAAAGCGGGGGAUCGCAAGACCUCGCGCGAUUGGAGCGGCCGAUAUCAGAUUAGGUAGUUGGUGGGGUAAAGGCUCACCAAGCCAACGAUCUGUAGCUGGUCUGAGAGGACGACCAGCCACGCUGGAACUGGGACACGGUCCAGACUCCUAAGGGAGGCAGCAGUGGGGAAUGAUGGACAAUGGACGCAAGUCUGAUCCAGCCAUUCCGCGUGCAGGAUGAAGGCCCUCGGGUUGUAAACUGCUUUUGUACGGAACGAAAAGGUCUCUCUUAAUACGGGGGACUCAUGACGGUACCGUAAGAAUAAGCACCGGCUAACUACGUGCCAGCCGCCGCGGUAA